GAUAGUUUGCUGGAGGUGGGGCCGCGCCUGCCCGGAGCGGAGCGGCCCCUCGGAGGGUGCGUUCGAGAGCGUUUGCAGGAUGUCCGCUUUGGGAUCUGAGACACUUGCGCAUCCUGUUUCUGUUCUAUUCAACAAACUCACAUUAAACUCUGGCUGGAAGGAGAGUUGUGAGGCCAAGGAUAAAUAGCCCUCAGAGAUCCUUCUGUAAGAGAGAGAGGAAGGAAGAGAGAGAAACUAAUGUGAGAAAGCAGCAUCAAUGGGUCGCCUCCCGUACACGCCCCUGGGGAGCAUACACACCUGGACGAGCCCAGGGAAUGCAGGUGCCUGGGAUCAAACCCACAGCCUAGGCGGUCCCAGGCCUUCUCUGUCACGUGACCUGUUCUGCUGUCCUCAGAGGUGUCGUGGCUGUGUGACAGUGUCUUAUUUACUCAUCCGUUGGUGUUUCUUGCACUACAGAGUGUGAGCGCGGACCUGGUGUGGCUUGUUCGCCGCUGCCUCCAAGUGUCGACAACAGUAUUCGGCACACACAAAACACUCAAAAACGAAAAAGGAAAAAAAAAAGAGAGAGAGAGAGAGAGAGAAAUGCGCAGUAAAUCAAAAGAGAGAGAAAAGGGCAGAGACAGACAGAGACAGGCCAAGCCUUUGGUCUCGGCCCAGCUGGGAGGGCUGCUCCUCAGUGUGGGUCACCGUGACCAGGCCUCAGCCUUGACACGGCCACACUGGGCAGGUGGCUCACACUCUCUGGGCAGCCUCGGUCGAACUAAGAAGCAAACCCUGCACCCCUGAGGGGCAAGGACACUGCGUGGCACUAGCUGGUGCUCGCUGAGCUCACACGGCCCUUACCAAGGAACGCAUAUAUUUUGUAACUUUCCUCUAAGAAAUUUUCAGAAAUGAGAUUCAUGCACAAUAUAAUGUUCCUAUGCAUAAUAUUUUUAGAAAUCUAUAUAAACUUCAUAUAGUAAGCAUGUAAUACCUGUACAUAUAAUAUAUAUAUGAAGUAUUUUACACGUAGUAUAUACUGUAUAAGGUGAUAUAGAGGAAAAUGAAAAGAAAGUACCGUAGAAAAACAUAGUAUGUAUUUCUGUGUGUGAAAGUUCAGGCUGAACCCCACGUGGGAACAGCAGCUUGCGAAUGCACAUGAAUCACUGGUGUGGAAACCAGA